GCCUCGGUGGCUCCGGGGCGAAAGCGGCGGCCUACGGAUCCCUAUAUGCCGGGUUGGAAUCCCGGCCGAGGUG
rnacentral:tRNA from 1 species